AAAAGAAGCAGCGAUGACUUGAAUACCUGGCGAAACCGACACUGCCCGGCCGGCGGAGAGAAGAUCGCCGGAGCUCGAGGCCUCCUCCGAGCCCGCCGAUCCGCGACGGCAGCGUCGAAGAGCGAAGCGAAGCGGACAAAGAUUAUGGGCGAAAGAUGCGAUUGCUGUACUCGAUCACCUGGGAUGGGAAAGAGUCCAUGUCAUUGGCCGUUCAAUGGGUGACUAUGAUGGCUUGCAAGUUGGCUGCCAUGGUUGCCAACAGAGUUUUAUCUUUAGGGUUGCUCAAUGUGACUGGUGAAGGUUAUGAAUGUUUCCCAAAGGUAUUGCAUCCAUUUCAGUAUGCGAUGGUCCUUCCUUUGAAUAGAGAUUGACAUUUUUCUCCAUGCAAACUAAAAGGGGAAAGAAUGUUCUUCCCGGUUUCUUUUAUCAUUAAAAGAACUAUUUGUUUGUGUGGGUGUUCGCUGUUCAGUACUUUACAGACUGGUUGUUCAUUUAUUGCAUGCUGAGCCUCUUCCA